rnacentral:rRNA from 1 species
UACGGAGGAUCCAAGCGUUAUCCGGAUUUAUUGGGUUUAAAGGGUGCGUAGGCGGCCUGGUAAGUCAGGGGUGAAAGACGGUAGCUCAACUAUCGCAGUGCCUUUGAUACUGCCGGGCUUGAAUGCAGCUGAGGUAGGCGGAAUGUGACAAGUAGCGGUGAAAUGCAUAGAUAUCAAGAGGAACACCUGAGGUGAAGACGGGUUGCUGGGCUGACACUGACGCUGAGGCGCGAAAGCCAGGGGAGCAAACGGG